UACGUAGGGUGCAAGCGUUGUCCGGAAUUAUUGGGCGUAAAGAGCGUGUAGGCGGUCCGGUAAGUCAGCUGUGAAAGUCAAGGGCUCAACCCUUGAAAGCCGGUUGAUACUGUCGGGCUAGAGUCCGGAAGAGGCGAGUGGAAUUCCCGGUGUAGCGGUGAAAUGCGUAGAUAUCGGGAGGAAUACCUAUGGCGAAAGCAGGUUUCUGGGCCGUCACUGACGCUGAGCUGCGAAAGCUAGGGGAGCAAACAGG
rnacentral:rRNA from 1 species